rnacentral:rRNA from 1 species
GAUGAACGCUGGCGGCGUGCCUAACACAUGCAAGUCGAACGGAGUCCAGCCUUUAAGACCUUCGGGUCAAAGAGGGGAAGACUGAGUGGCGGACGGGUGAGUAACACGUGGGCAACCUGGCUCAUAGAGGGGGAUAACAGAGAGAAAUUUCUGCUAAUGCCGCAUAAGCACACACUGCCGCAUGGCAGAGGGUGAAAAGAGAAUCGCUAUGAGAUGGACCCGCGUCUGAUUAGCCAGUUGGCAGGGUAAGAGCCUACCAAAGCGACGAUCAGUAGCCGAUCUGAGAGGAUGAACGGCCACAUUGGGACUGAGACACGGCCCAAACUCCUACGGGAGGCAGCAGUGGGGGAUAUUGCACAAUGGGGGGAACCCUGAUGCAGCGACGCCGCGUGAGUGAAGAAGUAUUUCGGUAUGUAAAGCUCUAUCAGCAGGGAAGAUAAUGACAGUACCUGAAUAAGAAGCCCCGGCUAACUACGUG